rnacentral:rRNA from 1 species
GACGAACGCUGGCGGCGUGCUUAACACAUGCAAGUCGAACGAGUGGCGAACGGGUGAGUAACACGUGGGUGAUCUGCCUUGCCCUUCGGGAUAAGCUUGGGAAACUGGGUCUAAUACCGGAUAGUGCAAGAUGAGCUCUGGGCCUAUCAGCUUGUUGGUGGGGUAAUGGCUACCAAGGCGCGACGGGUAGCCGGCCUGGGAGGGUGUACGGCGCCAUUGGGACUGAGGGAGGGCCCAGACGCGAACGGGGGGCAGCGGGGGGAAAUAUGGUACAAUGGGGGGGAGUGUGAUACAGCGACGCCGGGGGGGGGAUGAAGGCUUUCGUGUUGAAAACUCCUGUCGACAGAGACGCGGUACCUGUAUAAGAAGCACCGGCUAACUACGUGCCAGCAGCCGCGGUAAUUC